CCAAUAGCGUAUAUUAAAGUUGUUGCAGUUAAAAAGCUCGUAGUUGAAUUUCGGGGUUAGUAGGUUGGUCAUGCCUCUGGUAUGUACUGGUCUCACUGAUUCCUCCUUCCUGAUGAACCUUAAUGCCAUUAAUUUGGUGUUUUGGGGAAUUUGGACUGUUACUUUGAAAAAAUUAGAGUGUUUAAAGCAAGCUAACGCUUGAAUACAUUAGCAUGGAAUAAUGAAAUAGGACGUUCGAUCCUAUUUUGUUGGUUUCUAGGAUUGACGUAAUGAUUAAUAGGGAUAGUUGGGGGCAUUAGUAUUCAAUUGUCAGAGGUGAAAUUCUUGGAUUUAUUGAAGACUAACUACUGCGAAAGCAUUUGCCAAGGAUGUUUUCAUUAAUCAAGAACGAAAGUUAGGGGAUCGAAGACGAUCAGAUACCGUCGUAGUCUUAACCAUAAACUAUGCCGACUAGGGAUCGGAUGAUGUUAAUUUUUUAAUGACUCAUUCGGCGCCUUACG
rnacentral:sRNA from 2 species